GACGAACGCUGGCGGCGUGCUUAACACAUGCAAGUCGAACGGAAAGGCCCUGCUUUUGUGGGGUGCUCGAGUGGCGAACGGGUGAGUAACACGUGAGUAACCUGCCCUUGACUUUGGGAUAACUUCAGGAAACUGGGGCUAAUACCGGAUAGGAGCUCCUGCUGCAUGGUGGGGGUUGGAAAGUUUCGGCGGUUGGGGAUGGACUCGCGGCUUAUCAGCUUGUUGGUGGGGUAGUGGCUUACCAAGGCUUUGACGGGUAGCCGGCCUGAGAGGGUGACCGGCCACAUUGGGACUGAGAUACGGCCCAGACUCCUCCGGGAGGCAGCAGUGGGGAAUAUUGCACAAUGGGCGGAAGCCUGAUGCAGCAACGCCGCGUGCGGGAUGACGGCCUUCGGGUUGUAAACCGCUUUCGCCUGUGACGAAGCGUGAGUGACGGUAAUGGGUAAAGAAGCACCGGCGACCUACGU
rnacentral:rRNA from 1 species